UGGACCAAUAAUGAUGGCUGGUGGCAUGUGAGUCAUGGAUGAUGAAUAAUAUGUGUGUGGAACUCUGAGCUUCAA
ensembl:snoRNA